rnacentral:rRNA from 1 species
UACAGAGGUCCCAAGCGUUGUUCGGAUUCACUGGGCGUAAAGGGUGCGUAGGUGGCGGGGUAAGUCUGAUGUGAAAUCUCCAAGCUUAACUUGGAAAUGGCAUUGGAAACUACUCUGCUCGAGGGUUGGAGGGGGGACUGGAAUACGUUGGUGUAGCAGUGAAAUGCGUAGAUAUGUGGAGGAACACCGAUGGCGAAGGCAGCCCCC